CAUGAGUCUCAUAGACAAGAAGGACAACACACUGGGCCGAGUGAAAGACUUGGACACAGAGAAGUAUUUCCAUUUGGUGCUGCCUACGGAUGAGCUGGCGGAGCCCAAGAAGUCUCACCGGCAGAGCCAUCGCAAGAAGGUGCUCCCGGAAAUCUACCUGACCCGCCUGCUCUCCACCAAGGGCACGUUGCAGAAGUUUCUGGAUGACCUGUUCAAGGCCAUUCUGAGUAUCCGUGAAGACAAGCCCCCACUGGCUGUCAAGUACUUUUUCGACUUCCUGGAGGAGCAGGCUGAGAAGAGGGGAAUCUCCGACCCCGACACCCUACACAUCUGGAAGACCAACAGGUGGCGGGUGGGGGGCCGUGUGGACUUCACUGUGCCACUGGGGCCCCUGUGGCAGGGGGUUCAGAGUCUAGUCUUCUGGCCUCGCCUGCU
rnacentral:lncRNA from 1 species